GCCGGGGUGGUGAAAUUGGCAGACACGCCAGCCUUAGGAGCUGGUGAGGGAAACCUCGUGGGAGUUCAAAUCUCCCCUCCGGCA
rnacentral:tRNA from 1 species